rnacentral:sRNA from 1 species
ACUGACUUUUGUGAGACAAAUUUCACUUUUGUGAGACAAAAUUGUCAAAAUUGAAUUUUGUCUCACAAAAGUCAAUUUUGUCUCACAAAAGUCAA